UACAGAGGGUGCAAGCGUUGUUCGGAAUUAUUGGGCGUAAAGCGCGUGUAGGCGGCUUUGCAAGUCGGGUGUGAAAGCCCACGGCUUAACCGUGGAAGUGCGCCCGAAACUGCAGAGCUUGAGUGUCGGAGAGGAUGGCGGAAUUCCGCAAGUAGAGGUGAAAUUCGUAGAUAUGCGGAGGAACACCGGUGGCGAAGGCGGCCAUCUGGACGACAACUGACGCUGAGACGCGAAAGCGUGGGGAGCAAAC
rnacentral:rRNA from 1 species